rnacentral:rRNA from 1 species
AGCGAACGUUUGCGGCGGGCCUAACACAUGCAAGUCGAACGCACUAGCAAUAGUGAGUGGCGCACGGGUGCGUAACACGUGGGUAAUCAACCCUUCAGCUUGGGAUAACGACUUGAAAGGGUCGCUAAUACCGGAUACGGCGCGAGAGGCUUCGGCUUCUCACGAGAAAGCCUCGCAAGGGGCACUGAAGGACGAGCCUG